rnacentral:lncRNA from 1 species
UCCUCCCUUCCUUACAGCACCUGGAGAAAGCCAGAAGGUGCUCAGACAACAACUCAUCAACAAAUUGAUAGAAGAUAAUAAAUUGACGAGAAGAAGGAAAAAGAAGUGACUACACGUUAAAAGAGUCAAGUGCAUUGAUAAAUUAUUACAGGUUAAAAGAGUCAAAUGCAUUGAUAAAUGAUUACAGGUUAAAAGAGUCAAACAGGAUGAUCUAAUUAUGAUUUAUGAGAAAUUCAAAAAAAUUUAGUUGGUUUACAAAAAUGCUAAACUAGUCACUUAAUCAAAGGAAAAGAAAAUGUUAAACAGAACCUACAGCCCUGCUAUAUUUCUUAGAGAACUGCAGGAUGAGCUUUUCCAUUGUUCAAGCACAUGACAGAUAUGCUUUGCAGUAUGCUCAUUCCAAGGCUAAUUAAUAACUAUAGGGUAAAAACAAAGCUGGAUAUUGUCUUUGAUUAAAAGAAAAUGAGAUUACCAUCUUGACGACUUGACCUGCCCAGAUUCAGCCCAGCCGCCUAUUUGCCACCUAGAAUUAACGGCAGAAGAUUACAGAGAAGCUGAUGAUUAUUCAAAGAAUUCUUCAAAUUGAAACCUCACAUAUUAUCAAAAUGUAAGUUACUUUUUAUUACAAGCCCACCCGGUCCUGGUCCAUUCCAAUAGCUAGCCUAGCUCGGUCUGCAUUGAUUUUGGGCGACAAUCAGGACCAGCCCAGCCUGCCUGGGACAAUUUUGGUCCCCAUUUUCUGUGCAUGUUAGGUCAGUCUCCUGGGCCAACCAGUCUCAGUUUCCAGGUCUAGUCAACAAGGAAUAUCUAAUUUGUUCCCAUGUGUAUGGUAGAGAUAGUAGGUUACCUCCCUUUAAAUCAAAACAUAAUCAAAGUACCUCCUCAUAGAUGUAAAGACUUUGCUAAAUACUCCCUUUCUGCUAAAUCAACCUAAACUUUAGUAGUUGAAUGAUAAAACUAUGCUUACAGUCACUUUAGUAGUAGUAAAUAAGUCAUUUGACACGAUCACAGAAGUAUUGCUUAAACAACAUUAAAUCAAAGACCUGAAUUAUGCACUGGGAGAGCUCGACGACUCCAAUUGCAGGCCUUAGCCAACCAUGUCCCUUAGCAGUGCAUGGCAUAGUUGCCAU